GUUGCGUUAGGGAUAGCAGAUAAAAUCCUUUUUUAAGGCUUUUUCUGACUCAAAAAAGAUUAUUUCAUAACAUGAUAUUUC
rnacentral:sRNA from 1 species